GCAAAAUUUAUGGACAUGCACUUUCAUCAGAACUUUUCUACUACUUAGAGCACAUUGAGAAUGAGUUCACAAUAUAUCAUUUCUGCAAAGACCGAGCCAAGUGCCCUGCUUCUGACCUAUUCUGCUAUCAAUUUCUUCUUAGAAUUCUCAGGUUUCUAAAAAAACUUCUAAAUUCUGUUAUAAUCAAUAAAUACUUCCCAGAACAAAAAUUUAUAUUGUUUAUUAAAAUGUUUUUAAAUGAAGUUAUUAAAAAUGAAAACAGGAUUAACACUGUUAGCUUAAUGGGAUAUACAUUUUAAGAAUACCUUGAUAGUAAUGGAUCCUAAAUUUGUUUUCAUUUGAUACCUUGAUAAUAGCCAUGUGCCUGGUUUCUUUUCCUUUUCUAAAAAUCAGAAAUGUAGUACAAACUGAAAUUAAACUCAUUGAUAGGUGGACCACUUGAUUUUAUAACAAAUUUUAUCAUUGUAACUUCAUGAUGAUAAUGUGUAUGGUUCAUGGAUAGCAAUUGAAUCUCAAUUUCUGCUGCAAAAUGUUACCUGAUUUUUCAGUCCAUUAACUGUGACUUAAAAAAAUAAAUAAAAAACAAUUUUUAAAAGUAAAAAUAUAAUUUUCAAACUCACUUAGUAAGCUUUUGCGUAACAAAUUAAUUUAUGAUCAAAUAUAUAUAUAUUUUUUUCAGGGAAAACACGUUACAAAUUUACUUGUUCCAGGUUAUUAAAAAUUAUUAGGUAUUUCUUUUAGCUUUCAAAAAGAGAUUUUCUUUUUAAUCAUUUGGGACUCAGAGAAAUGGUACCAUAUUUAAAAUGUUAAAUCCUAGGACAGGUGUCAUUCUUAAAAAUAUAUUACAUUUAGUUCUUAUUAUUUUUAUAAGAUUAAUGAUUGGAUAGCAUUAUGUAGUGAGAGAGGAUAUGUAGCAGAGAGAGGCUUCUUCUGGAAGGCCAAAUAUCAAAAUAGAUAGAAUAUUUCCUAAUGCCAAGACAGGCACUGAGGAUGGUCAAUUCAAUGAGCAAUUUGAUAAAGCUCAAUGGAAAUUUCAAGUCAUUUGUUUGUCUGUUGUCCAGAAAUUAGUUUUAAUUAUCUGAUAAAUUCACCCAGUUGCAGGAGCUCCUUUUUGAUCAUAUCACAUAAUUGUAGUUGUAUUACACCUUUCAAGCAAGAAGAGAAAAAUUCCUUUCUAAAUUAAUUUUCAGUGAGUGCAUGUGGGUUCUUGAUUCAUUCGGCAAGCACCCACAGGGUCAUUAAUACAUUUCUUCCAACUCCCCCAAGACAGCUAGUAUCAUUCAUCAUGUGUUAACUGUCAUUAUGUGGCAUUUAUAUGCUUUAUCCCUAAGUUUGACUGUCUAACUUAUCCUUUGGCCCAUAGCCCUCUUUUCUUGUUGAGAAAUUCAUGGCAGGUUAUCAAGGUCAAACUUUUGAUAAGUUUUUCUGUCACAUAGCUUAUCCAUUAUUUGAAGUUUCACUAGAUUGGGCCCUGUUCUGUCCCCAACUAAUUCUUGGGUAUUGGAAAUAUACUAUGGAAUUUAGUCUUAUUAUGACUGAAGACAUCUGGAAUUUAAGUUAGAUAAUUAACUAUCUUAAUAUCUAAGAUAUUAUUGAUCAUUAUUGAAUGAUCCUUGGCCAAUGUUAAAAAAAAUUAGAGUUAGUUUGUGAUAAUUGGUGGAUGAAAUUUGGAAGUUUUAUUUAAAAGAAAUAAGACAGUCCCAAAAUGCUGAGCAUGUAUCUUCUUGGGAAAUAGGGUCUGUUGGAAAAUACUAACCAUAAUUGAAAUUAAUGGAAACAUAUAACAUGCAUUGAAGAGGAACAUUUCCAAGCAACAUUAUGUUGGGUAUUAAUAUUCCCUUUCUUUCUCUCUUUUUGGAACAAAACAAAACAAAACAAAACAAAACACCUAUGUUUUAAAAUAUUCAGAGGGACUUAGUCACAUUACAAGAAAAGUUUUGGACCUUUAUUAUGUGGUAUAUAAUAUAUUACUUGUUGGAAUUUUAAAAAUAGGUAAGGAAAAAGCUAUUUUAUUUAUUUCAGAUAUUCUAAUUCAAAGGUUAAGGAAAUGAUGUAGGAACUACUCACCAGGUGUGAUUAUUCCUCGAAUUUUAUAGGCAGAUUUACUUUGACCCAGUGUCACCACACCUAUCACCAAAUAUUCUUAUGAUAAAUGAUUUAUGUUGUUUUAUUUUCAGGUCCUUGCUCAUUUGUCGUCUGUGAGCUCCCAUCCACCUGCCCCCCCCCCCAAUUUCUUUUAUUCUCUCUUGGUUUCUUGAUUUCUUAAUGCAUCUUAUUUGUAAAUCAUUUGGAAAUUAACAGAUGAAGCCCUUCUUAUGAACAGAUAUUCAUAAACUUCUUUAAUGCCCAAGUGGGGUAUAUUGGGUUUAUUAGCAUUAUAGCAAUAUGGCAAUAAUAUAUUAUAAGGAAAAAUAGCAACAAUUAUUGUUUUCUUAAUACACUCCAACACUAUGCUAAGUACUUUAUGAAUGUUAACUCACUUUUUCCUUUAAUUCUCACCUAAUUCACAUGAACCCUGUCUCUCUUUCCAACAUUUGAGUCAUUUAUGUAAACAGUUUUACAUUUUUUUAAGUGUCCAUGUUCAGGGAAAUGAAGUUUCUGAGUAGCUCUGAAAAGAAACUACUCACUGAAAAAGAGAGAUUCCCAUGGUGCUACCUAGGCUUAUCUUGAAAAAUUACCUCUGUAUGUUUUUUGACAUAUUAAUUAUGUAUCUUUCACAGACACAUUAAAAUAAAUAGUAUUUGUAAAAAAGUC